AGUGAACGCUGGCGGUAGGCCUAACACAUGCAAGUCGAACGGCAGCACAGUAAGAGCUUGCUCUUACGGGUGGCGAGUGGCGGACGGGUGAGGAAUACAUCGGAAUCUACUUUUUCGUGGGGGAUAACGUAGGGAAACUUACGCUAAUACCGCAUACGACCUACGGGUGAAAGCAGGGGAUCUUCGGACCUUGCGCGAUUGAAUGAGCCGAUGUCGGAUUAGCUAGUUGGCGGGGGAAAGGCCCACCAAGGCGACGAUCCGUAGCUGGUCUGAGAGGAUGAUCAGCCACACUGGAAGUGAGACACGGUCCAGACUCCUACGGGAGGCAGCAGUGGGGAAUAUUGGACAAUGGGCGCAAGCCUGAUCCAGCCAUACCGCGUGGGUGAAGAAGGCCUUCGGUUUGUAAAGCCCUUUUGUUGGGAAAGAACAGCAGCAGGUUAAUACCACGCUGUUCUGACGGUACCCAAAGAAUAAGCACCGGCUAACUUCGUG
rnacentral:rRNA from 1 species